UACGGGGGGGGCAAGCGUUAUUCAGUAUGACCGGGCGUAAAGGGUCUGUAGGCGGCCAGUUUAGUUGUUGGGAAAAUGUUAGGGCACAACCCUAAAAAACUUACAAAGCGUACUUUGCUAGAGUACUAAAGGGGAUAAUAGAACUUCUGGAGUAGGGAUGAAAUCCAGUGACAGCAGAAGGAAUUCCAACGGCGAAAGCAAUUAUCUGGUUAUUACUGACGUUGAGAGACGAAGGCAUGGGUAGCGAAUGGG
rnacentral:rRNA from 1 species